UACAGAGGGUGCAAGCGUUGUUCGGAAUUAUUGGGCGUAAAGCGCGUGUAGGCGGCUUGGCAAGUCGGGUGUGAAAUCCCUCAGCUCAACUGAGGAAGGGCGCCCGAAACUGCCGAGCUUGAAUACCAGAGAGGAUGGCGGAAUUCCCCAAGUAGAGGUGAAAUUCGUAGAUAUGGGGAGGAACACCAGUGGCGAAGGCGGCCAUCUGGAUGGCUAUUGACGCUGAGACGCGAAAGCGUGGGUAGCAAACAGG
rnacentral:rRNA from 1 species